CCAGGAGCCAGCUCAGAGCUGACAAUAAUCUGGGGGUGGGGUGUGAUAGGGAGGAACCAGGCUCCAAGACCUCCCCCCUGACCCCCAACCCAGUGUCAAGAUGCUGGGGGCAGGCGUGGAGCUCUGUCUCCCAAAGGGGAAGUUUGUUAAAAAUAGGUGUCUUGGCCCCACCCCAGACCUACUGAGUUAGAACCUGGGGCAUCCGCAUUUUCAGCAAGCUCUCCACCCAAGGGGCCCUGGGGCCCCAGCAGGACCGCGCAACUGCUGGGCGGGUCUCUCCUUUCAAGCCUAAUUCCCCGUGGUUUCCUAAUUCCCCGUGGAGCGCUAACAGCGUGAACAGGACAGCAGCACUCCCGUGUGCUGAGCCACAAAGGGGGCAGGUGCUCCGUCACCCCCAUUCUACAGAUAAAGGCACUAAGAAAAGGUAAUCGAUUGGCCUGUCCAAGGUUGCGAAGCUAGUAAGCAGCGGAACUGAGACUAAAUCCUGAAUUUCAAAAAGUUUAAAAUGCUAACAACAUCGAUAAUAGUAGCGCGCCCCCUCACCUAGACGUCACAGCAACUCAGAGAGGUCACAAAUGACGUGACCAUUUGGCAGGUGAGGAAACAGAGGUUAGGCGAGCUCUAGCCUGAAGCCGCUCACUGCCUGGCGAACCGGGGGCGUUACCCCCAAACCACACGACCCGGCUCUGGACACUAUGGCCUGGGGGCUGGUCUACGCCCUCCUCUGCACUUUACAGGGCACCCCCCGCCCCCACUGAGGCGUGAGGACGCCCUGAGCUGAGCGCAGGGCCAGACAUGACCCGGCGUCACCCCAACCCCUGGACCCAGCAGGAGGCGCCCAAGGGGCUCCCCGGCGACCGCGCUCGCCGAAGGAAAGACCCGCUGCUGCCCAGUGUGCCCCUGCCCCAAAUCCGGGGAGUAUCUGGCGCGGGGGCCACCCGGGGCUCGAGGGCCUCGGGGAGCGACGACGGGUGGUGGGGCGGGUCCUCGCUCCCAGAGCUGGGGGUGGGUGUCAGGAGCUCCCCGCUGAGCCUGCCCACCCUGCCCACCGGGGCCCAGCGGGCGGCGCAGAACCGGGCGAAGCUGAGGUCGCUCCCGCUGCCGCCCCUGCGCCGGGCCGGUGCGCCCCGGGACCCCGCGCCCCGGCCUGGAGAGAGCGAGGACCCCUGCAGGGGCUCGGCCAGGGAGACCCCGGACUCCCUGCUCGCGCUCCAAGGAGAGCUCCUCCCCAGCAAGUUCCGGGAGUUCCUGCAGCGGACGGGGACAGAGUGCGUCCGGGCGACGCCACCGACAUCCUCAGCACGGCAAUCAAAAAAGAGUGUGUCAGAGCACUGCCAGCACCUUCCCCGGUGUCCCCACUGUUCCUUCCCUUCAGACCUGCGGGGUCAGUCAUCGUACUUCCAGAUUAGUCUUAAGAAGAUUUUGCUGCGUCGGAUACCUGCCCUGGGGACCCUGAAGAGAGAUCGCUCGCAAUUCAUCACCUUCAAAAAGGCCAACCAAUCCACGGACGGAUCGGGCUGGCCCUUCUGCAGCCUUGCCCUUGAGGCUGAAAUUAAUAGCAAUAAAUGCGUACUGGAUGCCUCAAGCCCCACGGUGUCCAGGCCCCCAAGCUCAAGGCUGUGCUCACUCACAGCUCCUCGGGAGAAGGCUCGGGGAAGAAGCGUAGGCGCUUCUGCCCCUUCCGCGUGCGAUUUGCUGAUGAGACCCUGCGGGACAGCGCGCUCCGCUACUGGGAACGUGCCUUGGCAGGGGCUGAAGAAGACGGGAAGCCACCGAAAGCAUCUUCUCCCCGUAUCCAUGAAGGCCUGCCUGGCUGAGGAGAUGCCCAGAAAGGUCCAGAAGAUCAAACCGUCUCUCUGGGGGAGGCAGGCACUGCCUGGUCCAGCAAAGAAGCCGGCAGCCACCGGGCCUGGGUUCUGGGAUGGAAGUUUGCUCUCAGCUCUUUGGCGGGGGAUGGAUGUGGUAGUGUCUGCGUUGGCAUAGUUUCCAGUGUUUUCUAAAGGUGUCAAGAGGCAGGUGGGAAGAAUACCGUGUCCUUGCUCUGGUAUAACCUUUAUCACCUGCCCUGCCCAUCCCCCCCCCCCCCCCCGCCCUGCCCCCUUCUCCAUCUGCCCGGCCUCUUCACUUCACAGGAUCUAGCUGCCCCAGGGCCUCCAACAGCUUGCAUCCAUUUAUUGAGCACCGACUGUGUGCAGUUUGAGCAGAGGCUGCUCCAAAGCCUAGCUGUGGGUUAAAGCCCCCAAAUCCCGGACCUUCGCUGAUUAGGAAGGGACUGCCUCCCCAGGCCCCUUAAGGUCAUAGGAAAUUGCAAAUAGAAGCUGCGGUUUCGCCCAACUUCUCGUCGUUUGAUGGGGAAGCCAAAGCCCCGAGAGCAGGUGACACACGGUGGCCGACAAGAGAAGCCGCGGUUCCCCCAGGGAGACACGGUUUCGUGGGAAAGGCAGUUGGCUGGAAGAAGCUUCCUUGUCAGCCACGGGCCCCAGGAGCUGUGGUCACAUCCCGGGGCGCCAGAGUGGGGCUCGGCUGCUGACUUCCCAGCCCCCUCCAUCCCUGCAGAAAUCUCGUCCGGCAGGGCCACAUCGAGAAGGGGAUAGCCACCGGGUCAAUGACAUCAGAACGGGUGUUCAGGAGUGUCGGGAGAUGGCUGGAGAGUUUGCCCAAAGCCCUGUGCCCCAGGGCCCAGGAGGAGGCCAUGGCCAGCAUC